GCACCCGUAGCUCAGUUGGCAGAGCAGUGGGACGGUACCCCAUGGUUCUGGGUUCAAAUCCCAGUGGUUGCU